rnacentral:rRNA from 1 species
UACGUAGGGGGCAAGCGUUGUCCGGAUUUAUUGGGCGUAAAGAGCGUGUAGGCGGCUAGAUAGGUCCGUUGUGAAAACUCGAGGCUCAACCUCGAGACGUCGAUGGAAACCAUCUGGCUAGAGUCCGGAAGAGGAGAGUGGAAUUCCUGGUGUAGCGGUGAAAUGCGCAGAUAUCAGGAGGAACACCGGUGGCGAAGGCGGAUCUCUGGGCCUUACCUGACGCUCAGGUGCGAAAGCUAGGGGGAGCGAACAGG